UGCUCCCUGAUGUCAGCGGCGGACGGGUGAGUAACACGUGGGUAACCUGCCUGUAAGACUGGGAUAACUCCGGGAAACCGGGGCUAAUACCGGAUGCUUGAUUGAACCGCAUGGUUCAAUUAUAAAAGGUGGCUUUUAGCUACCACUUACAGAUGGACCCGCGGCGCAUUAGCUAGUUGGUGAGGUAACGGCUCACCAAGGCAACGAUGCGUAGCCGACCUGAGAGGGUGAUCGGCCACACUGGGACUGAGACACGGCCCAGACUCCUACGGGAGGCAGCAGUAGGGAAUCUUCCGCAAUGGACGAAAGUCUGACGGAGCAACGCCGCGUGAGUGAUGAAGGUUUUCGGAUCGUAAAACUCUGUUGUUAGGGAAGAACAAGUACCGUUCGAAUAGGGCGGUACCUUGACGGUACCUAACCAGAAAGCCACGGCUAACUACGUGCCAGCAGCCGCGGUAAUACGUAGGUGGCAAGCGUUGUCCGGAAUUAUUGGGCGUAAAGCGCGCGCAGGCGGUUUCUUAAGUCUGAUGUGAAAGCCCCCGGCUCAACCGGGGAGGGUCAUUGGAAACUGGGGAACUUGAGUGCAGAAGAGGAGAGUGGAAUUCCACGUGUAGCGGUGAAAUGCGUAGAGAUGUGGAGGAACACCAGUGGCGAAGGCGACUCUCUGGUCUGUAACUGACGCUGAGGCGCGAAAGCGUGUGGAG
rnacentral:rRNA from 2 species